rnacentral:rRNA from 1 species
GACGAACGCUGGCGGCGUGCUUAACACAUGCAAGUCGAACGGAAAGGCCCUGCUUGCAGGGUGCUCGAGUGGCGAACGGGUGAGUAACACGUGGGUGAUCUGCCCCUUACUUUGGGAUAAGCCUGGGAAACUGGGUCUAAUACUGGAUAGGACCAUGCUGUAGGUGGUGUGGUGGAAAGAUUAGUUUCGGUAAGGGAUGAGCUCGCGGCCUAUCAGCUUGUUGGUGGGGUAAUGGCCGACCACGGCGUCGACGGGUGGCCGGCCGGAGAGGGUGGUGGGCCACAUUGGGACUGAGAUACGGCCCAGAAUCCUACGGGAGGCAGCAGUGGGGAAUAUUGCACAAUGGGCGCAAGCCGGAUGCAGCGACGCCGCGUGGGGGAGGACGGCCUUCGGGUUGUAAACUCCUUUCAGCCAUGACGAAGCCCUUGUGGUGACGGUAGUGGUAGAAGAAGCACCGGCUAACUACGUG